rnacentral:rRNA from 1 species
GGGGUCGUCCCCCUAAGGCCUAUUCAUGCAAGUCGAACGCUUCUUUUCCCACCGGAGCUUGCUCCACCGGGAAAAGAGGAGUGGCGAACGGGUGAGUAACACGUGGGUAACCUGCCCAUCAGAAGGGGAUAACACUUGGAAACAGGUGCUAAUACCGUAUAACAAUCGAAACCGCAUGGUUUCGUUUUGAAAGGCGCUUUACGGUGCCGCUGAUGGAUGGACCCGCGGUGCAUUAGCUAGUUGGUGAGGUAACGGCUCACCAAGGCCACGAUGCAUAGCCGACCUGAGAGGGUGAUCGGCCACAUUGGGACUGAGACACGGCCCAAACUCCUACGGGAGGCAGCAGUAGGGAAUCUUCGGCAAUGGACGAAAGUCUGACCGAGCAACGCCGCGUGAGUGAAGAAGGUUUUCGGAUCGUAAAACUCUGUUGUUAGAGAAGAACAAGGGUGAGAGUAACUGUUCACCCCUUGACGGUAUCUAACCAGAAAGCCACGGCUAACUACGUGCCAGCAGCCGCGGUAAUACGUAGGUGGCAAGCGUUGUCCGGAUUUAUUGGGCGUAAAGCGAGCGCAGGCGGUUUCUUAAGUCUGAUGUGAAAGCCCCCGGCUCAACCGGGGAGGGUCAUUGGAAACUGGGAGACUUGAGUGCAGAAGAGGAGAGUGGAAUUCCAUGUGUAGCGGUGAAAUGCGUAGAUAUAUGGAGGAACACCAGUGGCGAAGGCGGCUCUCUGGUCUGUAACUGACGCUGAGGCUCGAAAGCGUGGGGAGCAAACAGGAUUAGAUACCCCUGGGUAGUCCACGCCGUAAACUAUGAGUGCUAAGAUGUUGGGAGGGUUUUCCGCCCUUCAGUGCUUGCA